CCAUCUUACCUUUGUAAGCGGCUCAUUCAAAUGUGGACAUGGUAACGAUCCAUGUGAGUUCUUAGAUUUUUGAGGAAUGAUGGAAUUCUGGCAUCUUGUGAACUGGCUACGGAGUUUUAAUCUAUCCUGACAACUAAGAGAAUAUUCUGGCACUAACCUUUGUGCCCUUCUAUAAUAUCUAAGUUGAAAGAAAUCACCCUAGGUCACCUUCAUAUUCAAGUGAUGUUGAUGAUUUAAAGGUGUAGCUAUAGACUUCUCCCCUCCACGCAAGAUUCCUGAGCUGUCCAACCUGGCUCGCCAAAUAUCAUCAACGUGAACUGUUGAUAAGAUAAAUCUGAGUUUAUUGCUUACCUAGAAGUGACGGGUCUUUUGGGAAGUUCCUGUAAUGAAUAAUCAAGCCAUUUGCCUGGGCAGAAGACUCCCGGAAAAAGAAAGCCAUGCUGAUGAAGCCAGAAGAACAGAAAGUCGUGCUGAUGUAGACAGUAGGUGUGGUUUUGUUUCGCUGUCCAGACUGAGUAUCAGGGUAGACAGUUUUCAGUUCUUAGAGGCCUCCCACAAUUAAGACACCCCCAUGAUGUCAAAGCAAUAUUCCCUGUAAAAGAUACAAAUACUGAGAGGAUUAUCACAUCAAACUAUUAGGAGUGUUUCACUCUUUAGAGGGACUAUGUUUUGGGGUUGUUUACUGUCAGGAUAUUUAAUGGAAACAGUUCUCUGAAGGAACAGACACAGUUUUGAUAAGCUUUGAUCACGGUAAAAGAUAGAGAAAAGAUUUUUUUUUUAGGAAGAUUAGCCCUGAGCUAACAUCUGCUGCCAAUCCUCCUCUUUUUGCUGAGGAAGACUGGCCCUGAGCUAACAACCAUGCCCAUCUUCCUCUACUUUAUAUGUGGGACGCCUACCACAGCAUGGCUUGUCAAGCGGUGCCAUGUUCGCACCCAGGAUCCAAACGGGGGAACCCUGGGGCACGGAAGUGGAACAUGCGCACUUAACCGCUGCACCACCGGGCCAGCCCUGAGAGAAAGUUUUAAGCUUAGAAAAUUGGUAGGUAGUUAGAAUGCCACAAUUCAGUUUGUAGAGCUGCUGACCAGAACACAAUGGCCUUUCAAUCCUAGUAUUUCAUGCAUACUAAAGAAUAUUACGAAAGAGGCAGUAUGUGAGAGGCAAAAUGCUGUUUCCAGUUUUGCUUAGGCUUAUCUUUCAUCCUCUUUCUGAGUCAGAAUUCAGUGUUCUACCCUUAAGUACCUGGUGGUAAAACUAGCAAGACUCCCACCUGACACCUAAUAUGAUGACUUCAUUCUAGUCUAAUAGCCCCUUCUCUGAAGUUAACAUGCUUUUUCCAGUGUGAAGUAAGCUGUGUUUUGAGAGAGGAAGGGUCCAAUGUGUCAAAGAGAAAUUGCACCAGACGCUUGUUAAAAAUGGCAAGACAGAUUUAUUUGAGAUGCUGCUGGAGAGGAGGGAGACUUCAGGACAGAACUGAGCUCAAGUCCAGAUACAGCCAGGGCUGCUGGGGAUUUAGAGCCAAGAGGCAGAGUGAGGGGGUCAGUGGAUGGAAAAUUAAUGAGACUUUAUUAGAUAUCAAAGAUGAGCGAAGAGGAACACGAUUAGAUAUCAAAGAUGGGGAGAUUCUCAUUGUAAAUGUUUGUAUUUCUGGUAUCCUGUAGUAGGGGAAGGUGUGUGGUUAAACUGGCCUAGAGGCCAAGGCCAAGGCCGAGUCGAGAAGAGCGCUCAGAAGAGCCUGACCGACGUCUGGUCAGGGAGAGGGUCCUUGUCAAAGAUGGGAAUAUUUGAAGAUGAUAACACUGGAGUCAGCGGAUGAGCAGAGGGAGUCCAGCUGUGUUGAACCCCCCGUUCUAUAUCUUUUACCAUGAUCAAAGUUUAUCAAAACUGUGUCUAUUUCUUCAGAGAACUGUUUCCAUUUAAAUAUCCUGAUGGAAACAACCCUAAAACAAAGGAGGGAGAGCCUCCAAUUUAAGUGUCACCCUCCCGGACGCCUCCCCAAAGUCUUGCUUGGUGUUAGCAGUUUCCAUGGUUGCAGGACCAGCGGUGGGAGGAG
ensembl:lncRNA